rnacentral:rRNA from 1 species
GACGAACGCUGGCGGCGUGCUUAACACAUGCAAGUCGAACGGAAAGGCCCUGCUUUUGUGGGGUGCUCGAGUGGCGAACGGGUGAGUAACACGUGAGUAACCUGCCCUUGACUUUGGGAUAACUUCAGGAAACUGGGGCUAAUACCGGAUAGGAGCUCCUGCUGCAUGGUGGGGGUUGGAAAGUUUCGGCGGUUGGGGAUGGACUCGCGGCUUAUCAGCUUGUUGGUGGGGUAGUGGCUUACCAAGGCUUUGACGGGUAGCCGGCCUGAGAGGGUGACCGGCCACAUUGGGACUGAGAUACGGCCCAGACUCCUACGGGAGGCAGCAGUGGGGAAUAUUGCACAAUGGGCGGAAGCCUGAUGCAGCAACGCCGCGUGCGGGAUGACGGCCUUCGGGUUGUAAACCGCUUUCGCCUGUGACGAAGCGUGAGUGAGGGUAAUGGGUAAAGAAGCACGGGCUAGCUAGGUG